GAUGAACGCUGGCGGCGUGCCUAAUACAUGCAAGUCGAGCGAACGGACGAGAAGCUUGCUUCUCUGAUGUUAGCGGCGGACGGGUGAGUAACACGUGGAUAACCUACCUAUAAGACUGGGAUAACUUCGGGAAACCGGAGCUAAUACCGGAUAAUAUUUUGAACCGCAUGGUUCAAAAGUGAAAGACGGUCUUGCUGUCACUUAUAGAUGGAUCCGCGCUGCAUUAGCUAGUUGGUAAGGUAACGGCUUACCAAGGCAACGAUGCAUAGCCGACCUGAGAGGGUGAUCGGCCACACUGGAACUGAGACACGGUCCAGACUCCUACGGGAGGCAGCAGUAGGGAAUCUUCCGCAAUGGGCGAAAGCCUGACGGAGCAACGCCGCGUGAGUGAUGAAGGUCUUCGGAUCGUAAAACUCUGUUAUUAGGGAAGAACAUAUGUGUAAGUAACUGUGCACAUCUUGACGGUACCUAAUCAGAAAGCCACGGCUAACUACGUGCCAGCAGCCGCGGUAAUACGUAGGUGGCAAGCGUUAUCCGGAAUUAUUGGGCGUAAAGCGCGCGUAGGCGGUUUUUUAGUCUGAUGUGAAAGCCCACGGCUCAACCGUGGAGGGUCAUUGGAAACUGGAAAACUUGAGUGCAGAAGAGGAAAGUGGAAUUCCAUGUGUAGCGGUGAAAUGCGCAGAGAUAUGGAGGAACACCAGUGGCGAAGGCGACUUUCUGGUCUGUAACUGACGCUGAUGUGCGAAAGCGUGGGGAUCAAACAGGAUUAGAUACCCUGGUAGUCCACGCCGUAAACGAUGAGUGCUAAGUGUUAGGGGGUUUCCGCCCCUUAGUGCUGCAGCUAACGCAUUAAGCACUCCGCCUGGGGAGUACGACCGCAAGGUUGAAACUCAAAGGAAUUGACGGGGACCCGCACAAGCGGUGGAGCAUGUGGUUUAAUUCGAAGCAACGCGAAGAACCUUACCAAAUCUUGACAUCCUUUGACAACUCUAGAGAUAGAGCCUUCCCCUUCGGGGGACAAAGUGACAGGUGGUGCAUGGUUGUCGUCAGCUCGUGUCGUGAGAUGUUGGGUUAAGUCCCGCAACGAGCGCAACCCUUAAGCUUAGUUGCCAUCAUUAAGUUGGGCACUCUAAGUUGAUUGCCGGUGACAAACCGGAGGAAGGUGGGGAUGACGUCAAAUCAUCAUGCCCCUUAUGAUUUGGGCUACACACGUGCUACAAUGGACAAUACAAAGGGCAGCGAAACCGCGAGGUCAAGCAAAUCCCAUAAAGUUGUUCUCAGUUCGGAUUGUAGUCUGCAACUCGACUACAUGAAGCUGGAAUCGCUAGUAAUCGUAGAUCAGCAUGCUACGGUGAAUACGUUCCCGGGUCU
rnacentral:rRNA from 1 species